rnacentral:rRNA from 1 species
UGGGGAAUUUUGGACAAUGGGCGAAAGCCUGAUCCAGCAAUGCCGCGUGUGUGAAGAAGGCCUUCGGGUUGUAAAGCACUUUUGUCCGGAAAGAAAUGGCUCUGGUUAAUACCUGGGGUCGAUGACGGUACCGGAAGAAUAAGGACCGGCUAACUACGUGCCAGCAGCCGCGGUAAUACGUAGGGUCCAAGCGUUAAUCGGAAUUACUGGGCGUAAAGCGUGCGCAGGCGGUUGUGCAAGACCGAUAUGAAAUCCCCGAGCUUAACUUGGGAAUUGCAUUGGUGACUGCACGGCUAGAGUGUGUCAGAGGGGGGUAGAAUUCCACGUGUAGCAGUGAAAUGCGUAGAGAUGUGGAGGAAUACCGAUGGCGAAGGCAGCCCCCUGGGAUAACACUGACGCUCAUGCACGAAAGCGUGGGGAGCAAACAGG